GCCGCGCUGCCUCAGCAAGGUGGUCAUGCUCGCGCUCCUCAUGAGCUAAGUUGAGUUUAUACUUUAGGCAGUUCAUGAGCUAAGUUGAGUUUUAGCCUUACAAUCAGUUUGCGUCAAACAUUUUGUAUAACAGUAAGCUAGAGAGUAGCUGCUAUAGCAAGCAGCUACAACUACAAACAAGAGGGGCACAAGCAGCAUUGCCGCCCAUACCAAUGAGCACAAAGCAUCAACUUCUGCUGGUUACUAACAACUCCAAUGUAAAGUUUCCUCCAGUCCGAUAAAACAAUACCAAGAAAAGUUUCAGUUACCAGUUACUAUGUGUUAUUUAAUUUGCAGCAGCCAGCAACUAGACAAAUGGUAGCGGAACUAAUAAGCAAAAGAAUCACCAAGUGUACAUUGGGAUUCAAAAUGGAUAGGACGAAUUUCUCAUCCAGUGAAUCAGACAAACUUGUUAGUUUCUUCGUAAUGAGAGAGAACAAUCAGACGUUAAAUACAGGCCCCAAUGCACGGAGCCAACCGGCCCUGCCCACACCACACCACAGGCCGAAACGAGAGGCGGAGAGAUGAAUCUACCCGGAGAGGCUCAAGAUCCGCCCCCAGCCCCACGACCAUGACCCACCACCUGCAGAAGGCACCGCUGACAGCCACAGAUCCACCGACGGCCAACGCCCCCGACCCAGGCACCAGCUACAAGCACAAGCAAGCCACGCCGCCGUCGCAGCGGGCCGACCGCGUGCGUGGGCGCCAACGCCGCUGGCCAGCCACGGCCACGCGAGCGCGCGGGCACCACCGCCGCGGGCUAGCCGCGCGAGCCACCACGGCCGUGGCCGCAAGGCCACCCGCCCAUGCCAGCAGGGAGGAGCGGCGGGCGGCGACCAACCCCUAGAUCCGGCCAGUCAGCCCGCCGAUCCGGCCUUCCCAAGGGCGGAUCAGGUCGCCGACCACCUCCAGGAAGAGGGAGGAGUGGAGUGGGUGGAAGAAGGGAGGGAAAUGAGUGAGAGAGCAGUCCCGCCGCUGCCCUCCUCGCUGCUCGUUGAACUUCCGGUGAGCUGCUCCGGCGACGGCGGGGGUGAAGACCGGCGGCGGUGGGUGGAGUUGGACGGGGUCGAUGGGGAGCCGCCAGUGACGCCUAGAGGAGGACGACGCGGGGACAGGCAAUACUCUAAAGGAUGACUUAGACAUCCUUUGAUGGUGUUGGAAACGAUGAACGAAAAUCAAGCUUUGUAAUGUAUGAAAAACUCAUGCUUGAUCGUUGGGAUACAGAUUUUGUGUAUACUAGGUUGUGCUGUUGGGCUGGCCGGUACUACAAGAGAAGGAGGACUCCACACGAACAGGGAAAUCGAACAGAACAACUACCACAUCGUAUUUCUCAUCCCAACGCCAUCGUCUUCCUCCUCGGUAGCUGCUGGUUCCUCACUUCUAGGGUUAGAGUUUCCCUCUCUUAAUCCUCUACCUCUUCCUACUUAGUUUGCUCUUGAUCUCCCCAUCCUAAGAUCGUGUAUCUUUGCUCGAACUCCUUGAUUACCAGUGAAACCAGUUGUCAUGUUUGCGCUGUUUGCAUCCAUGGAGUGCGGUGCUAACAGAUUUGCGUGUAGAUUGACUUUGAUAUAUCAUUAGCUGAGGGGUGAUCUUGAGAACCUAUGGAGAUAAGUACACAAGUACUCUAGAAGAAAUUUGCAAUAUCGUCACAUCUGUCAGACGACCGUCACCUUUGGAGGGCAAAAGUGACAUUAGGUCACAAGGGUGAAUUGAACGCCGCUCUUUUUCUCUAUCAACAAAACUGGUUUGAAAAAUAGCUUUCUUCAUUUGUCUGGCUUCUCUAACUUUCUGAACUUGAUGUUUAUGAAGUUUUCUCCAUCGUCUACAGGCUACAGCUCAUGAUGAAAUAAACAUUGCCAAGGAAGCUUCUCUGAAAACAUAUUAGGUUGAUGGCAGCAUGCUAAAGCAGAAAAGAAAAUACUAAGUUUUACCUAUAGCACAUACUACCAUGAUGGCCAGGGUUUAUCCUCUUAGCAAUCUCGGACCAGGAAGGCCCGAAGCCUCGAACUCAGAUAACAUGGAAACUUCUUCAGGCCGCUAGUCAUCAAAAUAUAAAUCUGGAUCAAGAAUAUUGGUCGCUCUGCCAAGGACCGCUAGAAUAUGGUAUCCACUGCUCUGGCUCCACGCCUCCGCUGCGGCAUUCUCCACUGCUCUCUUCUUCUCCAACUCCGGUGGCCGGCACGACCGCAACACAGCUCAUUCCCUCAAAUCCGUGAUCGACUGUGCCUUGAUUUGGUUACAUGAACUGGCAAGAAAAAAAAUCUUAUAUUUCUAUAUUACAAAGCCGGUUCAAAACGGCAUCUAUGAGACUAUCCACGUCGCUCCAAAAAUCGUGGCCGUUCAAUGGUGGAUCGUCCACCUGCUCUCUCGUGCGCCAGCGUAUCAACGUCAUCGCAAUUUCUCUGAGCCGCUCGAUCUCCCAGCAACAGACACAGAUCGCCCAGUAGCAUCUUCCUCUAGACUCUUCUUCCUCGCCUUUGACCGGUCUCCUCGUCACGCGAUGCUUCCAGGAGGAUCU
rnacentral:lncRNA from 1 species